UCCUGGAAGGUGUGUCUGAAGUUUGACAUGGACAGGUUGGAGCUAGAAGAUGAACAUGUGGGAGUACAGUGUGUGUAUGUAUUUAUAGUAUAUUUAUUUGUGUGGACAAUGGUUUUUCAAGCACUUCUGAUUGAAAGGUUAUAGGCGAAGAUUACUGGCAUCUUACAGGAGCUAUUACGGAUGGGCACAUUUGUUACAUGACAUCUGUUCUCCAUCAGAACUGUAGCACCUGCGGAGUUAUUUCCUCCUCAGCCGUGUGUAUGGAUUUGGUUAUUGGAUGCAUUUUGCUUUCUGAGGUCACUUCAUCUGUUACACUGAUAAGCUAGCAAUGGGAGGCCAAAGUCCUACCGUGACUUCUGUAUGGAGUUGGUAGUACAACUUCAAAUGCAAAAAAAUCAGUUGAGGACGAAGGUGGGACAGCGCCUGCUCAUAAAAGCCACCAGCUGUUAAUUGCUAUUAGUUUUCUUUCAUUGGUCAUUGGCUCUUGAGUGUCUAACAGUGCUUGCAUUUUCCAGCUUCUAAAGAGUGAUUUUAGCACGAACAAUGCUGAAGAGAGAAAAAUACACACCAUCUGUACUACUUCUUAGGAUUAUAAGCGUGUCAUUAGGGAAGGAUUUUAUUGUACAAAGUGAGCCUUCACAGCUCAGGAAGCCAAGAGAAGGCCAAUUUCUUUCCCCCCCACAACGUGCAAGAAGUGUUACUCCAGGUUUUAAAAGCACGCUCAUAAUGGUGAGGUAACUGCCUGUCCUUUUAGGAAACUGAAAUACCAUGGUCCCUGAAGUCAUACUUCCUGGUGCUACAGUCACGUAUUUCAAUAUAUUUUAAGACAAAUUAGAGUAUGUUACACUGCCCAGUGUUUCACUUUGAAGUGUCAAGGCUGAAAUCAUUAGUAAAUUUUCCCUUCUGUAAAUUGCUCUUUGGAUAAAAAGCUAACAAAUACAUUUGCCUUUUCCUGAUUUCUCUAUUUUUUUUUUCUUUCUAAUUGGUAUCAAAGGUGCUUAGGCUGUGAGCAAUGGUAUUGAUGGCUGUCACAUAACACCCAAAGGUAUGUCUUAGGAGAGGGGGGAAAAUGGCAUGAAUAAAAGGGUAAUAGCUUAAAAACUGUCUCCCAUUGCUUAGUUCUGAAAUGAGGCAUUUAAAAAAGAGAAAAGUUUGAUGAUGUUGCAGCUUUCUAAUACUUUUCAGCUGCCCACCCAGUGCUAAUUGUAUUCUCCCACUGGAACAGGGUGGCGUGCAAGUUUUCAGUACAUCAGGGCAGGAGGCAGUGGUUUUGAGUGCAGGUUUUUAACCAGUGCUGUUGAAAUGGAUGUCACUCUGGGUCACAGUGUAAGGCUGUAAACAGCAGCACAAGACUGUGCUAUCUGGACUGUUACAUGAUGCUGCAUGUAGGACUUGACUUUCAAUCAGAGGUUCUUUAAGCCCUUAAAAGCAUAGGGAGGAGGAAUGCUGACGUGGGCACAUCUGGGCCUGCUUUAUGUUCUACCAUUGCUUAUUGUCUUGGCUGCUCCUACGCAAUCCAUAGGGAAAAAUAAUAAUUAUAUAAAAUAUUUAUAGGGUACAGUGUUGUUCGUGCCUCAAAAAAACAUACCUGACUGCAGCUCUUACUGGCAGCCCCGCCACACCAAUGGUGUGUGUGACUGCCUGGAUAAGAACACCAGUUCUGUGUUCUGUCAGUGGGUUUGCCAGCUGCCCCAUUCCUCAGCCUGGAUCUCCGGGCACGUCUGCCAUCCCUUUUGUUGCUGUGUGUCUAGAAAGGAAUGCAGUGCCUGUGUUGGGUGGCUCACAUCUUCAAUAAGCCGUGACAGCUGAUAUGAUGCUAGGUGCAGCGUAUAAAAGCAUCACAGUUUCACAGCUGCAUCCCACUUUUGAAAGCAAAUCAAUAGAAAUGAUGUUACUUUGUCACUUAUGCUUGUUUUAUGAUCAACUUACACGAUUUUUCUUCUCACCAGACGGAGGUGUCUAUUGGUACUAGUUGUAUGGAGUUCCACAGGAACUGUGUUCUGCUGCGUCCUGGAGAGGUAAUGAGAGACCAAAUAAUGCCUCAGCUGAGGAUAUUCAGAUUAUUUGCACACGCUGAGCUAUCACAUAGCCCUGUUAGAAGAAAGCGCGAGUUAACUGAGGCUGCUGGAGCGAAAAGGACAAAGAAAUGCACAUCAUUUGCAUGUGUUAAUAGGAAUAAGGAAGCUGAAAAAAACAGACCGUGCCCAUACUCCAUCACUGCCAGCACAGCCGCUUGGAGCUGCCCCGACGCUGAUCUACUGACGCUGGCUUUGUGCCAGAGUACAUCCCGUAAGUGAAGUCCUGCCCUUGGUGAAAGUGCUUUGAUAUCAAUUUCAAUAGGGCCUGCAUUUCAUCCACUUAUGUUAACGGAGUAAUUAAUUUCUAUUAUUCCCACCUGUGUGUUGCUUCCCACGCGCUCUCAGGAUCAUAUAGAUGAGCCGUAAAACUGAAGAUGGAAACACCGGAGUAUUGUGUUGGAAGGACAUUUUCAAGUGGGCGUAAAGAUGUUACCUUAAACCCUUACUUAAGUUUAUGGGUGUUGGAUGCCACAUGCCCUGAAAGCUUGCUUGCCUGCUCUCUUCCCUUCAUCUGCUACCCACCCACACUGCUCCUCAGCCCUUCAGGCUGUUACCUCUCCCUUUAGUCCUUCCAGCUCAAUGGCUGUAAGUAGUAAAGUAACUAAUAUAUUCCCUAAUAUAUGGCAGCGCUCCAAAGACCUCCUUGGCAUUUGAACAAUUUGAGCCAAACCUGCUCACUGUGAGAAAAGCAUUUCCCAGAGCUGCAAAGGAGGCAUGUCAGAUGAGAUGCCGGGCUCCAGCAAGACAAUACCCCAGGAACAAGCUGAGUGAACAAGCCCUUCUCAUCCAUUAAGUGUGCUGACCCCAUGGAUCAAGUCCUGCCUUCACACGGGGCUGAGAAGAUGGUUUGUGUCUACAGGAAACUUUCUGAAGUUGAGCUUCAAGUAUGUGUGACUGAAUUUGAGUUUGCCUUGCCUGAUGGAUUCCUCCCAGUGUGGCUCUGUUGCUGUUUGGCCCCAGGUCUUUGCUACUCUCCUGCAGUUGAUUUACAGGUGGGAUUUCUGAAGUCUACAUCCAUCCAGUUCUUCAGGCAUGGGGGAAUUACCAGCACAUGGCUCAGGCACUCACCUGUGUUCCAGCAGUUUCGCUUUUAAAAUGGUCUGAACAGAUGCAGAAAACUCAGGCUUCAUUUUUCGGUCCCAGCAUCAUCUUUCAUGCUGCUCUUGGUACUCAUCUCACACAAAUAUUUAUUUACUGGUGGGAUGUUGAGCAAUAUGGCCCAGAGGUCCUCUGAAGACAUUACCAAAGGGUAUUUCUUCAGAAGUAUUCUUCAGGGCUGAAGCCAUGCUUUUGGGUCAGAUACGUGUUUCUGAAAGAUGUAUGCUGAAAAAAAAAAGAAAAGAGAAGGAACAUUUUAUCUUAGAGCUCAUUUCUCAGCUAAACCAUAAAUGAAGGUUUUGUACUUUUAUUAACUGGUAACUAAUGCACUUAUUUAGCUUCAUGCUAACCACUGGGUGGGAAAAAAAAAUGCCCUAUACGUUUACUGGGCAUUACAGAGGUGUAUGUCCAAUUUACCUUCAGUUAGUUUUCUUUAAAUGAGGUGUCAGCCUACGUCCUCAAAGUAUUUUGUUACUGAGCACUUACACCAGUGUGCCCAGCUUCAUAAACACCAUUUUGUCAUUAGAAUUUCAUUAGGGUGAGGAACAGCAAAAUAACACUUCCUCACAUUCUGUCAAUCAAGUGACUGACACUUAUAUCAC
ensembl:lncRNA